rnacentral:rRNA from 1 species
ACAGGAUUAGAUCCCCUGUUAGUCCACGCCGUAAACGGUGUCAACUGGGAGGUUGUGCCCUUGGGGCGUGGGUUCCAGAGCUAACGCGUUAAGUCGACCGCCUGGGGAGUACGGCCGCAAGGUUACAACUCAAAUGAAUUGACGGGGGCCAGCACAAGCGGUGGAGCAUGUGGUUUAAUUCGAUGCAACGCGAAGAACCUUACCUACUAUUGACAUCCAGAGAACUUAGCAGAGAUGCUUUGGUGCCUUCGGGAACUCUGAGACAGGUGCUGCAUGGCUGUCGUCAGCUCGUGUUGUGAAAUGUUGGGCCAGCGGUUAGGCCGGGAACUCAAAGGAGACUGCCAGUGAUAAACUGGAGGAAGGUGGGGAUGACGUCAAGUCAUCAUGGCCCUUACGAGUAGGGCUACACACGUGCUACAAUGGCGCAUACAAAGAGAAGCGACCUCGCGAGAGCAAGCGGACCUCAUAAAGUGCGUCGUAGUCCGGAUUGGAGUCUGCAACUCGACUCCAUGAAGUCGGAAUCGCUAGUAAUCGUGGAUCAGAAUGCCACGGUGAAUACGUUCCCGGGCCUUGUACACACCGCCCGUCACACCAUGGGAGUGGGUUGCAAAAGAAGUAGGUAGCUUAACCUUCGGGAGGGCG